rnacentral:lncRNA from 1 species
AACAGAUCUACACAAAGAGACAUUAUAAUGAAAAUGCCUAGCAUACGCAAUAAGGAUAAAUCUUAAAGGCUGCAAAAGAGAGGAAUCAGAUCACAUAUAGGGAGAGACCAGUUCACAUCUCAGCAGAUGUUUCAACCCAGACCCUCAAAGCCAGGAAAUCAUGGAACGACAUAUACCAAGCUCUGAAAGAAAAUGGAUGGCAAUCAAGAAUUUUAUAUCAGCAAAACUAAGCUUUAUAUUUGAUGAUGAAAUCAAAAGUUAAAAGAAUUUACAACUAGAAAGCCUGCACUAGAGAACAUCCUAAACAAAAGUUAAAAGAAUUUACAACUAGAAAGCCUGCACUAGAGAACAUCCUCAGCAAAAUAUUCCCUGAAGAUGAAAUGAAAAACAAUGAUGAAAAUCAGCAGAGGUAGGUAUUACACUAAAGGAAAAUCUAUUCAGAGGAGAAACCAAGUCACAUUAAAUACUAAAAGUAAACAAAACUGGCUGGGAAUAAAAAUCCUGUCUCAAUAAUAACCAUGAAUGUUAAUGACCUAAAUUCCCCAAUCAAAAGACAUAAACUGGCAGAUUGGAUAAAAAAAAAAAAAAAAGAUCCAACAAUAUGCUGCCUCCAGGAGACUCAUCUCAUAGGAAAAGGCAUCUGCAGAUUGAAAGUGAAGGGUUGGGAAAAAUCAUACCACUCACAUGGACUGCGGAAGCAAACAGGUUCCUAUCCUCAUAUCAAAUCAAGUUGACUUCAAGAUAAAGUCAAUCAAAAAGGAUAAAGAAGGACACUACAUACUGCUCAAGGAAACCAUUCACCAAGACUUAGCAAUUAUAAAUAUAUAUGCCCCAAACAAUGGAGCAUCUAUGUUCAUCAAACAAACUCUUCUCAAGUCAAAUAGACCACACCACAAUAAUUUUGGGUGACUUUAACAAACCUUUUUAUCACUAGAUAAGAUCUUUCAAACAAAAGCUGAUAGAAGAAACUUCUCUUAAAUAGAUCAUACAUUAUGCCACAAAGCAACUCCUAG